GAUAACCACUGUACGUAGUGCAGACAUUCUGGACAUUUUGCGUGUUGUCAAUAAUGACUUUAUGAUCUGCAAAUUGAUUCGCAAUCGAAAAACGGAAGCAGAAUUGACUCCUUAUUAAGACAACGGGGGUGUUAUAUUCAUGUUUAUGUUUUUGAUAUUCGAUGGAUUCACUUUCUGAAGGCCAAAUUGUAAUUUCAGAAAACCGAGGAUAGGCCAUAUCAAGUCUCACGUGCAACAAUUGUUUGCAGAUACCUCUGGGCCACAGCAAAUCUCCCCAUGGCCUCGGCUGUGACAAUAUGUUGGGUAAAAAGAAGUCAUAGGAGAAAUCCCUUUGAUUCUGGGAUACAAAUCUUGCAUUGCCUUGGGUGAGAAGAGGAGGAAGAUGGAGCAUCAGCCCUGAGCCUCUCACCGAGAGAACGCUUUGAUGUGGCCCCGCUGGGCCGCCGCCCCCCUGUGCCCUGAUUGGUGGAUGGCAGGCGGGGCUGACGGGCCGAUGUGGGAGUGGAUGGGGGAUGAAAGCGCGUGGGGCAGCGAGGGGGCACCUGCACACAGAGCCUGGCCUGUGUGGCUGCUUCAUCUUCAACCGCUUCCCCUGACCGCCGGCUGAACUCCUGUGUCAGCGACCAUCACACAGUCACUGUGACCUCUCCUUCUCUCCCCGCCUCUCUCCUUACACUGGCUGUCUGUCUGUCUGUCUGUCUGUCUCCUUCUUUCUCUCUCUGUCUACAUAUAAAUGUAUUAUGGCAGAGGAGUUGCUAGUUGACAGGUGUAGCAUGUGCUGUAGAGAAUGCAAUUUAAAAAUGCAAGGUGAAAGAAUAUGUUGCAGUGAAAUUGAUGUCUCAGCCUCUGGAAUUUAACUUGUCUUUGAACAGAUCCUAGCUCCACAUUUUUAAACAAAGGAGGCACAAUUUGAUAUGUUUCAAAAAAAUAAUCUACUACGGAAAAAAUAUUUACU